CCACCCCUAUACAAACAGUCAUAUCUAUUUUUAUCUAUUAUAUAUAAUAGUUUCUCAAUAAAACAUUAACUCUCUCCUCAUAAACACCCCCAAUCCCGUGAAUCGUUUUAUCUUCCUCAUUUUCUCUAAAACUAGCAAACCAAUGGCCAAUGCGCCACCGUUAAUCUCUCUCCUCCUCCUCUCUGCCGCCGUAUUUUUCACCCUUCCCGCCGCUAUAUCCUCCAUAGGCGUUAACUACGGCACUCUAGGAAACCUUCCACCGCCGACUCAGGUGGCGAACUUCCUCAAGACUCAGACUUCCAUCGACAGCGUCAAGAUCUUCAACGUGAACCCCGAUAUCAUCCGUGCCUUCGCCGGAACAGGAAUCUCCCUCGUAGUCACCGUCCCUAACGGUGAUAUCCCGGCGUUAGCUAACGGAGUACAAGCUCGUCGGUGGGUUGCUGCUAAUAUUCAACCGUUUCAUCCUCAGACAAAGAUCAAGUAUAUCUCUGUCGGAAAUGAGAUUCUUCUGUCCGGUGAUGAUAACAUGAUCAAGAAUCUUUUACCGGCGAUGAAGAAUCUUAACGCUGCUUUGUUUCAUGCUGGUGUCAAAGAUAUUAAGGUUACAACCGCACAUUCGCUUAACAUCAUAGCCUAUGAACUGAACGGUGCACCAAGCAGCGGUCGAUUCAGACCCGGCUGGGACAAAGGCGUAUUGGCUCCAAUCCUAGCGUUCCAUCGCGAGACCAAGUCUCCUUUCGUGGUCAACCCUUACCCUUACUUCGGUUUCGAUCCCAAAAACGUCAACUUCGCCAUUUUCCGCUCACCGUACAAGGAGGUCCGUGACCCGUUAACCGGAAAAGUCUACACAAACAUGUACGAUACUCUAAUGGACUCGACUUACUCAGCCAUGAAAGCUCUCGGCUACAGUGAUGUUGACAUCGUCGUUGGUGAGACGGGCUGGCCGUCUGCCUGCGAUGCGCCUUGGUGCUCUCCUGAAAACGCGGCUUGGUUCAACCUCAACAUUAUUAAACGUGCACAAGGCCAAGGAACACCUCUCAUGCCUAACAGACGGUUCGAGACUUACAUUUUCGGUUUGUUCAACGAAGAAGGCAAGCCCGGUCCAACCGCAGAGCGGAACUGGGGGCUUUUCUGGCCAGAUUUUUCACCGGUUUACGACGUUGGCCUCCUCAGAAACAAACAAGCUGGUGGUGGUGGUGGACGUCCAGCACCAGCAUUGCCAGCGCCUAGUGGUGGUGGUAAAUGGUGUGUGGCCAAGUCGGAAGCUACUGAUGCGCAGUUGCAGGGAAAUAUUGACUGGGUGUGUAACCAGGGAGGCGUUGACUGUAAACCGAUCCAAACCGGUGGUUCGUGCUCUAACCCGAACAGUUUGAGGACACAAGCGUCUUUUGUGAUGAAUGCUUAUUUCCAGAAACACGGUCGAACUGACCAGUCAUGUUAUUUCAGCGGAAGCGGAGUCAUCGUAGGGGAACAACCCAAGCAAUGGUGCGUGUAAGUACUAUAAGUGCGACAUCUCUCUAAGAGAUUUGUCUAUGUAGCAUUUGUUUGGAAUAAAAAAAAAAAGACUUCAAAUUAUGGUUUGAGGUUUUUUUGUUUGAUUUUCUGGAUAUGCUUCUAGUUUUGAGGUUGCUCUAUUCAUUUCCUUUUUUUUUCAAAUCCUUUUAUUUGAAUAAAUAAGGAGGAAAUUCUUAUAAUAUUUGCUUAGACAUACGCUUAACGCGUUGAUCACGCUGGCUCGUGAUCUUUAUGUUUGAUAGAUGGUCCAUCAACCUAUAAAGCAAUUUGAACGUUAGAACA